rnacentral:lncRNA from 1 species
CCGUAUUGAUGAUUCCAUCUGAUGUUUCUUACGACACAGAGUGAAUGUUUCGAAAAAUUUUCUUGAAAUUAAAAUAAAAAAAUUGUUGGUAGCAAAAGAUUGUGGUCCAACCAUGUUGGUGGGCUGGCAACGGCAGUUCACUCCGGUACGCUAUCCCACUACUGCCUACCACGGGAACUCUUGGCUGCUGGUUUUCACCCCUGGCCCGGUUCAUCCCUCCUUAGCCAACCUGAAUGCCGCGGACUCCUCCAUGGCACCCAUAUUGAUGGCAAGCUUAGUGCGGACGUUCCGUCAACAUGAGCUGGUCCGCUACACAGUGAUUCCCAGCCUCAGGCCAUUCCACAACCCGACCUCACAGAAGCGUGAUUACAGAAGAUGCCAACCUUCC